rnacentral:rRNA from 1 species
UUGAGCGCUGGCGGCAGGCCUAACACAUGCAAGUCGAGCGGAUGAAGGGAGCUUGCUCCUGGAUUCAGCGGCGGACGGGUGAGUAAUGCCUAGGAAUCUGCCUGGUAGUGGGGGAUAACGUCCGGAAACGGGCGCUAAUACCGCAUACGUCCUGAGGGAGAAAGUGGGGGAUCUUCGGACCUCACGCUAUCAGAUGAGCCUAGGUCGGAUUAGCUAGUUGGUGGGGUAAAGGCCUACCAAGGCGACGAUCCGUAACUGGUCUGAGAGGAUGAUCAGUCACACUGGAACUGAGACACGGUCCAGACUCCUACGGGAGGCAGCAGUGGGGAAUAUUGGACAAUGGGCGAAAGCCUGAUCCAGCCAUGCCGCGUGUGUGAAGAAGGUCUUCGGAUUGUAAAGCACUUUAAGUUGGGAGGAAGGGCAGUAAGUUAAUACCUUGCUGUUUUGACGUUACCAACAGAAUAAGCACCGGCUAACUUCGUG